CUCACAUUUUAUUUUUUAAUCUUUGGGGUUUUUUUUUUUUUGCAAAAAUUAUUCCCCUGUGGUUGCUCUUCCUUUCCUGGGCUUCCCCACCCCUCCGGGCAGCGCCCGCUGUUUGGAAACCCUUUAAGAGCAGCGCUGACCACGGGGCCGCACCGGUGCUCGGGCGUCCUCCCAAAACAGGCUCUCCCGCCGGGCGACAGGUAAAUAAGCCGUGCGCGGGAAUGGAGGCGAGCCGCGGGGCGCCCGCCACGGCCCAUCUCCGGCUCUCCGGAUCCUCUUCGGACACGAGCAUCAGGUUUGGCAAGGCUCAUUUUAUUCCUGUCCUCAGCUGUGCCUGUCCCUGUCCUCCUGGGAGUUUGGUUUAUUAAUAUAAUCCCUUUCGGAAUGAGUUGCUCAGCCAGGAGCGUUUGUGCUCAGAUUUAUUUCUGGUGUGUUAAAGUCUCCGGUACAGCGCUGUUGUGGAUUGUGUUUCGUUGUCUGGUGACGCUGCGGCGAGCUUUAGUGCUCCGGUCCUGGGAUGCUGUAGCAAACGCCUUGCCCCAUCCCGCAGAGCUUCUGCUCUGCUCCUUUGCCGAGGUGACGGUGACCCAAACGGAUUUACGUGCUGGCCACGUUAGCCCUUCUUUACACUGGGCCUGGUUUUAGCUGCUGGAUGCCACCACGGUAUGAAUCAUCCUUAUUCAUCACAUGGUGGAUAAAUAGGAUCUGUCUAACGAGCUGCGGCGUGGCCCAUACGAUGAGUCAGAGACGGAGCGAAGGUGCCCAGGAGCUCGGAGGCGAAUGGCUCCAGCGGUUCCGACUGCAGUCAAGGCUGGUGAAGAGAUAAGAGCUCCGCGCCUGCCCCAUACCGCUCACCAGUCCCACAUCAGCAGGGGGCUCCAGGGGAGGGUGUUGCAUCCCCUCCUUGUGUUUUGGAAAACCCUCCCUGCGAGAUGCACCAACCCCUCACGUCAUUUCUUGAGGAUGGCCCAGCCUUGGAUUCGCUGGGAUUUGGGAUGAGGAAUACAGCAGGAGAGACUUUGUCUUCCUCCACCUGUGUUCCCACUAGCAGUGGCAGGGUGGAUGUUCAAACACCUCCCCGCACAGGACCAGCCCUUGGCCAGGGCUUUUUCUGACCCUCAUGGAGCUGAAGGGCUGCAGGGACACACUGGCCCAUGCUCAUCUGCCCAGGGAAAAGCCAAUGCGGGUGCAAGAAACAGCAGUGUCCAAGUCUUCCAGGUCUCUCCUGGGGUGCAUGCAGCAGUCUUUAGCUCCCUCUAACGUUUAUGGCCCGAAUGAAGCAUCUGA